GAAAGGGCAGAAUCAUAGGGGCACAUUGGUUUUUUUGCCAUUUCUUUUUGCUGUUCUCUCUUUUCUCUUUCUUUCCUCCUCUUUCUUGCUUGUUUGAGGGUUUGUUUGUCGGCACUGUCAUUGAAAUCAUCAACUUCCAUUGAAUGAUAAUCAUCUUGA
rnacentral:ribozyme from 13 species